CCUACGGGAAGCAGCAGUGAGGAAUAUUGGUCAAUGGACGAGAGUCUGAACCAGCCAAGUAGCGAGAAGGAUGACUGCCCUAUGGGUUGUAAACUUCUUUUAUAUGGGAAUAAAAUGUUCCACGUGUGGGAUUUUGUAUGUACCAUAUAAAUAAGGAUCGGCUAACUCCGUGCCAGCAGCCGCGGUAAUACGGAGGAUCCGAGCGUUAUCCGGAUUUAUUGGGUUUAAAGGGAGCGUAGGUGGAUUGUUAAGUCAGUUGUGAAAGUUUGCGGCUCAACCGUAAAAUUGCAGUUGAAACUGGCAGUCUUGAGUACAGUAGAGGUGGGCGGAAUUCGUGGUGUAGCGGUGAAAUGCUUAGAUAUCACGAAGAACUCCGAUUGCGAAGGCAGUUCACUGGACUGCAACUGACACUGAGGCUCGAAAGUGUGGGUAUCAAACAGGAUUAGAUACCCGUGUAGUC
rnacentral:rRNA from 1 species